UGUAUAGCAAUAGCUACUUGCAUCAUUGUACAGAUGAUGCAAGAUCGACUAUGUCGAAUAAAAUUCUAGGUAGAAUUAUGAUAAUGACAUUGUCUGCCUAUGUGUCUUGACCAAAUUACGUGCCAGCAGUCGCGGUAAUACGUAGAAGACUAGUGUUAUUCAUGUUUAAUCGGUUUAAAGGGUACCUAGACGGUAGAUCAAGCUUUUUCAUAUAAAUUAUGAUAAUAAAAGGGACUAAUUUGCUAGAGUUACUUACGAGGGGGUAUUAAAGUACUGCUGGUGUAGAGAUGAAAUUCUGUCAUACCUCUUUUCGAAAGAAAAAUCAUGGCACAGGUAUAGGCGAAGGCAUCCCCUUAUGUGAUAACUGACGUUGAGGGACGAAGGCUUCGUGUAACAAACAGGAUUAGAUACCCUAGUAGUUGGAGCAGAAAAUGAUGAAUGUCAUAGAUUAGAUAUAUAAGUUUAUUCUAUAAAUGAAAGUGUAAGCAUUCCACCUCAUGAGUAAUUUGGCAACAUUGGAAUUGAAAUCAUUAGACCGUUUCUGAAACCAGUAGUGAAGUAUGUUGUUUAAUUUGAUAGUCCGCAAAAAACCUUACCACAAUUUGAAUAUUUAUAUUUUUUUUUAUUGUUUUCUUCUUAAUUUUCUUCUAAUUACAUAUUCAGCAUGUAAAAACAAGAAAGUUAAUAAAAAGNCAAUAAUAUAUAUUUACAAGCGUUGCACGGCUGUCUUCAGUUAAUGUCGCGAGACUUUGGUUAGUUCCAUUAAAUUAACGUAAACCCUUACUUUAUUUUUAUAUAGAGUAGUUCCCCGCU
rnacentral:rRNA from 1 species